rnacentral:rRNA from 1 species
CGUGAGUAACCUGCCCUUGACUCUGGGAUAAGCCUGGGAAACUGGGUCUAAUACCGGAUAUGACUCCUCAUCGCAUGGUGGGGGGUGGAAAGCUUUUGUGGUUUUGGAUGGACUCGCGGCCUAUCAGCUUGUUGGUGGGGUAAUGGCCUACCAAGGCGACGACGGGUAGCCGGCCUGAGAGGGUGACCGGCCACACUGGGACUGAGACACGGCCCAGACUCCUACGGGAGGCAGCAGUGGGGAAUAUUGCACAAUGGGCGCAAGCCUGAUGCAGCGACGCCGCGUGAGGGAUGACGGCCUUCGGGUUGUAAACCUCUUUCAGUAGGGAAGAAGCGAAAGUGACGGUACUGCAGAAGAAGCGCCGGCUAACUACGUGCCAGCAGCCGCGGUAAUACGUAGGGCGCAAGCGUUAUCCGGAAUUAUUGGGCGUAAAGAGCUCGUAGGCGGUUUGUCGCGUCUGCUGUGAAAGACCGGGGCUCAACUCCGGUUCUGCAGUGGGUACGGGCAGACUAGAGUGCAGUAGGGGAGACUGGAAUUCCUGGUGUAGCGGUGAAAUGCGCAGAUAUCAGGAGGAACACCGAUGGCGAAGGCAGGUCUCUGGGCUGUAACUGACGCUGAGGAGCGAAAGCAUGGGGAGCGAACAGGAUUAGAUACCCUGGUAGUCCAUGCCGUAAACGUUGGGCACUAGGUGUGGGGGACAUUCCACGUUUUCCGCGCCGUAGCUAACGCAUUAAGUGCCCCGCCUGGGGAGUACGGCCGCAAGGCUAAAACUCAAAGGAAUUGACGGGGGCCCGCACAAGCGGCGGAGCAUGCGGAUUAAUUCGAUGCAACGCGAAGAACCUUACCAAGGCUUGACAUGAACCGGAAAGACCUGGAAACAGGUGCCCCGCUUGCGGUCGGUUUACAGGUGGUGCAUGGUUGUCGUCAGCUCGUGUCGUGAGAUGUUGGGUUAAGUCCCGCAACGAGCGCAACCCUCGUUCUAUGUUGCCAGCGGUUCGGCCGGGGACUCAUAGGAGACUGCCGGGGUCAACUCGGAGGAAGGUGGGGACGACGUCAAAUCAUCAUGCCCCUUAUGUCUUGGGCUUCACGCAUGCUACAAUGGCCGGUACAAAGGGUUGCGAUACUGUGAGGUGGAGCUAAUCC